CCUAAGACAUGCAAGCCGAACGGAGUGACCAUUGAAGUGGAGUGCUUGACACAAAGACGGAUUUGGAUUUCACUCAGUGGCAGACGGGUGAGUAACGCGUGGGUAAUCUACCUCAAAGACUGGGAUAACUUCUGGAAACGGAUGCUAAUACCGGAUGAUUCAUAUUUAGAUAACUAGAUAUGCUAAAAGGAGCUUUUGCUUCACUUUGAGAUGAGCUUGCGUUGUAUUAGCUAGUUGGUGGGGUAAUGGCCUACCAAGGCAACGAUGCAUAUCCGAGCUGAGAGGCUGAUCGGACACAUUGGGACUGAGACACGGCCCAGACUCCUACGGGAGACAGCAGUUAGGAAUAUUCGUCAAUGGGGGAAACCCUGAACGAGCAAUGCCGCGUGAAUGAUGACAAUCCUCUGGAUUGUAAAGUUCUGUUGUAAAGGAAGAAACCUUACUAUAGGUAAUGAUAGUAAGCUGACGGUACUUUACCAGAAAGCCCCGGCUAACUACGUGCCAGCCGCCGC
rnacentral:rRNA from 1 species